UACGUAGGGGGCUAGCGUUGUCCGGAAUCAUUGGGCGUAAAGAGCGUGUAGGCGGUCCGGUAAGUCCGCUGUGAAAGUCGGGGGCUCAACCCUCGAAUGCCGGUGGAUACUGUCGGGCUAGAGUGCGGAAGAGGCGAGUGGAAUUCCUGGUGUAGCGGUGAAAUGCGCAGAUAUCAGGAGGAACACCGGUGGCGAAGGCGGCCCCUGGACCGGUACUGACGCUGAGGCGCGAAAGCGUGGGUAGCAAACGGG
rnacentral:rRNA from 1 species